rnacentral:sRNA from 1 species
GCAGUGAAGACUUGCGGAUGUGGAGGCC